CAGCACGGAUUAGUUUACUAAUUGGGUGGCGACCGGCGCACGGGUGCGUAACGCGUAUGCAACCUACCUUGUACUGGGGUAUAGCCCGGAGAAAUUCGGAUUAAUCCCCCAUAGUAUUAAACAACCGCAUGGUUGAAUAAUUAAAGGUUACGGUACAAGAUGGGCAUGCGUCCUAUUAGCUAGAUGGUGAGGUAACGGCUCACCAUGGCGACGAUAGGUAGGGGGCCUGAGAGGGUGGUCCCCCACACUGGUACUGAGACACGGAUCAGACUCCUACGGGAGGCAGCAGUGAGGAAUAUUGGUCAAUGGGCGCAAGCCUGAACCAGCCAUGCCGCGUGCAGGAAGAAUGCCCUAUGGGUUGUAAACUGCUUUUAUUUAGGAAUAAACUCUUGUACGUGUACAAGCCUGAAGGUACUAAAUGAAUAAGCACCGGCUAACUCCGUGCCAGCAGCCGCGGUAAUACGGAGGGUGCAAGCGUUAUCCGGAAUCAUUGGGUUUAA
rnacentral:rRNA from 1 species